rnacentral:rRNA from 1 species
GACGAACGCUGGCGGCGUGCUUAACACAUGCAAGUCGAACGGAAAGGCCCUGCUUUUGUGGGGUGCUCGAGUGGCGAGCGGGUGAGUAACACGUGAGUAACCUGCCCUUGACUUUGGGAUAACUUCAGGAAACUGGGGCUAAUACCGGAUAGGAGCUCCUGCUGCAUGGUGGGGGUUGGAAAGUUUCGGCGGUUGGGGAUGGACUCGCGGCUUAUCAGCUUGUUGGUGGGGUAGUGGCUUACCAAGGCUUUGACGGGUAGCCGGCCUGAGAGGGUGACCGGCCACAUUGGGACUGAGAUACGGCCCAGACUCCUACGGGAGGCAGCAGUGGGGAAUAUUGCACAAUGGGCGGAAGCCUGAUGCAGCAACGCCGCGUGCGGGAUGACGGCCUUCGGGUUGUAAACCGCUUUCGCCUGUGGCGAAGCGUGAGUGACGGUAAUGGGUAAAGAAGCACCGGCUAACUACGUG